UUAAGUGAAAUGAUACCUGCCAGAAUACCAGCCCUGUCAAACUGAAGCCUGCUGUGACUGUCUACAGCACCAGGCCUCUAUGUGGUGUGAGCAUAAAUCAGGACCAGCUGUGGGAAAGAGCCUGCUCUGGGUCAGCAGAUCUCUUCUUCACCUGGGGACGCCUUGCACGCAUUAUACUUCUGAGUUUCUGUACUGAGGUCUCUUCAUCACUGCAACAUAGCUCCCAGAAAACCACAUGCAUACUGUGUCAUCCUUCAUGAAAUCUAGUUUCAUUUGAAGACAGAAGCAGAGGAGAGUUGUGUUUGUUAGGGCACAGGCUCUGGAAUCCAAUAGGUGUAUAACCUGGCUUGCAAAAGCCUCCUGACAGCACAGAUAGGAGCAUCUGUUGUGUGGGUUGUAAUCUCUGUGCACAUCAAAUCCUCUCUGGGAUUCUGGUGAUUUUGGUUGUAGUUUGACAGCUAUUAGCCUGUCUUCAUUAAUAUAACACAGUAUACAGGAAACACGGUGUUCAGAUUCCUGCUCAAGCAUGUAAUGCAUUUGUGAAAUGAAUUGUGAUUUAUAUUGUACUCAUCUCCUUGGGUUUCUUUAUAAGUUCUCAAUGUUUUAUUUCACACUCCACAUUUCCCUGCUGAGCCUGUCAA
rnacentral:lncRNA from 1 species